rnacentral:lncRNA from 1 species
ACCAUCAAAAUGAUAUCAAGAAGAUACUCUUCAAAUGUCAUACAAUCUAGGAUUUGAUUUUUGGCUCCAGCAUAUGAAAAAAUCAAACCCUAGGGCACUCAAGCAACACUUGCUGAAAAUCUCACCACCCUUCUUGCAACUUUUGCCACUCAAAAUCUCCUUUCUUUUUUCUUAAUUUUUUUCUAAAUUUUUUUAUAUUUACCACAUCCAUUAUCUUCAAUUUAAGCC